AGCAAUAUUGUUGUAAUUCUAAGCAGAUGCAACAGAGUUUAUAAAAAGUCAAAGCAGAAAAAAUAUAUAUAUUUAUGUAUAUAUACUCAUUGCAGAGGUAUUUAUAUGUUUCCCAUCUUUCUUAUGCAAUUUUUCUCAUUCAUCAGCUACUAUGUUUCUUUACUCUAACCACACAAAUUGCAUAUUCCGUCUUUAAGGUCUGGCCAAUGUCCACAGUUAUCAAAUUUCCCCAUGUAAAGUGAUGCUAUCACUGCUCAUCUUCAUUCCAUAUGUUUCAGUUCCUCUUGGUAUGGCUUAAUACUAGCAUGCAGAAGUUCCUAUUCAUAUUCGACAAAAUAUCCAAAGUGCUCUACAUUAUGAAGGUUGCUGCAUGCACCGUUAGUCCUGUAGCACAAUUUACUUUUGAAAAUGUUACGUCAGUGAUUGGUCCCAUGAACUAUCAGCUAGUAUUAGCAUCAAGCGGUCAAGCUAUGAGCUAAGAUCCACAAAGAUAUUCCUUUCAACAAUUCUAACUCGAGCUCUGCCUCUAGUUGAUCCAUUUCCACAACCUCCAGCUCUGGUUCAGGCUCUUCAGUAAGAACACUACUGGCAUAUUCACCAUCAUCAAAUACUGGGAGGCUGCAGACUUUGGUCUCAUUAUGGUCUCUGUUCCCAGUACCUGACUUCCUGAGCAGUAACUGCGAAUUCUUGCCACUAAACUUCUUUGAGCUUGCGGCAACUUCACUUGCAGAACUGGAAGCAUGUAGAUUGCAAGAUGAUUUUCUUUUGCAUAGUGUAGUUUUUAACUCCUGAACCACUUUUGCAGUCUCAUCCAAGGCUGAGUUCAAUUUAUCGAUCUCAGCCCUCCCAGCUGACAUCAUGUACAUGAUACCAAAGCCAAGUCCCCAGCGAAAUACAGAGCUAUCUGAGGAGUAAAAAAUACCAAGUAAAUUUGAGUAUUAGAAAAAAAAAGUAAGUGUAUCUUGACAGCACAUGGAACUAUAAACAAUCUUUAUUA